rnacentral:rRNA from 2 species
UUUUGGACGGCAGUGAUAGGAAUCUUCCACAAUGGACGAAAGUCUGAUGGAGCAACGCCGCGUGAGUGAUGAAGGUUUUCGGAUCGUAAAACUCUGUUGUUAAAGAAGAACAAGUGUUAGAGUAACUGUUAACACUUUGACGGUAUUUAACCAGAAAGCCACGGCUAACUACGUGCCAGCAGCCGCGGUAAUACGUAGGUGGCAAGCGUUGUCCGGAUUUAUUGGGCGUAAAGCGAGCGCAGGCGGUUUUGUAAGUCUGCUGUGAAAGCCCUCAGCUCAACUGAGGAAGUGCAGUGGAAACUACAAAACUUGAGUACAGAAGAGGAAAGUGGAACUCCAUGUGUAGCGGUGAAAUGCGUAGAUAUAUGGAAGAACACCAGUGGCGAAGGCGGCUUUCUGGUCUGUUACUGACGCUGAGGCUCGAAAGCAUGGGUAGCGAACAGGAUUAGAUACCCUGGUAGUCCAUGCCGUAAACGAUGAAUACUAGGUGUUGGAGGGUUUCCGCCCUUCAGUGCCGCAGCUAACGCAUUAAGUAUUCCGCCUGGGGAGUACGACCGCAAGGUUGAAACUCAAAGGAAUUGACGGGGGCCCGCACAAGUGGUGGAGCAUGUGGUUUAAUUCGAUGCUACGCGAAGAACCUUACCAGCUCUUGACAUCUUCUGCCAACCCAAGAGAUUGGGCGUUCCCUUCGGGGACAGAAUGACAGGUGGUGCAUGGUGUCGUCAGCCUCCGUGCUUG